CGCGGCCUAUCAGCUUGUUGGUGGGGUAAUGGCCUACCAAGGCGACGACGGGUAACCGGCCUGAGAGGGCGACCGGUCACACUGGGACUGAGACACGGCCCAGACUCCUACGGGAGGCAGCAGUGGGGAAUAUUGCGCAAUGGGCGAAAGCCUGACGCAGCAACGCCGCGUGAGGGAUGAAGUACGUCGAGAUGUAAACCUCUUUCAGCAGGGACGAAGCGAAAGUGACGGUACCUGCAGAAGAAGCGCCGGCUAACUACGUGCCAGCAGCCGCGGUAAUACGUAGGGCGCAAGCGUUGUCCGGAUUUAUUGGGCGUAAAGGGCUCGUAGGCGGUCUGUCACGUCGGAUGUGAAAACUCAGUGCUUAACACUGGGCCUGCAUUCGAUACGGGCAGACUAGAGUUCGGUAGGGGAGACUGGAACUCCUGGUGUAGCGGUGGAAUGCGCAGAUAUCAGGAAGAACACCGAUGGCGAAGGCAGGUCUCUGGGCCGAUACUGACGCUGAGGAGCGAAAGCGUGGGGAGCGAACAGGAUUAGAUACCCUGGUAGUCCACGCCGUAAACGGUGGGCACUAGGUGUGGGAGACUAUCUACGUUUUCCGCGCCGCAGCUAACGCAUUAAGUGCCCCGCCUGGGGAGUACGGA
rnacentral:rRNA from 1 species